CAUACUUCUCGGCUUAAACGCUAAGAUCAUUUGUAGAAAAAGUUCUUUUCGCUGUGAGAAGCGAAAUACUUCCUAUUGGAAGUAAUUCUCUCACACUUAUUUUUUUCUGGAGGGUCAAAAGUUUGAGCUUGCUCAACUUUAGUCCAAGUGUCGGGUUGGUUUUCACUCCUACCUUUCUCGGUACAUCCAUA